GUGCCAGCCGCCGCGGUAAUACGAAGGGGGCAAGCGUUGUUCGGAAUUACUGGGCGUAAAGGGCGCGUAGGCGGCCGCUCAAGUCAGGUGUGAAAUCCCCGGGCUCAACCUGGGAACUGCACUUGAAACUGUGUGGCUUGAAUCCGUGAGAGGUUGGUGGAAUUCCCAGUGUAGAGGUGAAAUUCGUAGAUAUUGGGAAGAACACCGGUGGCGAAGGCGGCCAACUGGCACGGUAUUGACGCUGAGGCGCGAAAGCGUGGGGAGCAAACAGGAUUAGAAACCCCCGUAGUCC
rnacentral:rRNA from 1 species